rnacentral:rRNA from 1 species
UUGGCCGGGCGACGGUUGUCCCGGUUUAAGCGUGUAGGCUGGUUUUCCAGGCAAAUCCGGAAAAUCAAGGCUGAGGCGUGAUGACGAGGCACUACGGUGCUGAAGCAACAAAUGCCCUGCUUCCAGGAAAAGCCUCUAAGCAUCAGGUAACAUCAAAUCGUACCCCAAACCGACACAGGUGGUCAGGUAGAGAAUACCAAGGCGCUUGAGAGAACUCGGGUGAAGGAACUAGGCAAAAUGGUGCCGUAACUUCGGGAGAAGGCACGCUGAUAUGUAGGUGAAGCGACUUGCUCGUGGAGCUGAAAUCAGUCGAAGAUACCAGCUGGCUGCAACUGUUUAUUAAAAACACAGCACUGUGCAAACACGAAAGUGGACGUAUACGGUGUGACGCCUGCCCGGUGCCGGAA